UACGGGGGGGGUAAGCGUUGUUCGGAAUUACUGGGCGUAAAGGGCUCGUAGGCGGCCAACUAAGUCAUACGUGAAAUCCCUCAGCUUAACUGGGGAACUGCGUGUGAUACUGGAUGGCUUGGAUUUGGGAGAGGGAUGCGGAAUUCCAGGUGUAGCGGUGAAAUGCAUAGAUAUCUGGAGGAACACCGGUGGCGAAGGCGGCAUCCUGGACCAAUAUUGACGCUGAGGAGCGAAAGCCAGGGGAGCAAACGGG
rnacentral:rRNA from 1 species